rnacentral:rRNA from 1 species
GGCCACUUCGGUGGUACUCGAGCGGCGAACGGGUGAGUAACACGUGAGUAAUCUGCCCUUCACUCUGGGAUAGCCACCGGAAACGGUGAUUAAUACCGGAUACGACCACUCCAGGCAUCUGGUGGUGGUGGAAACUUUUUUGGGUGGGGGAUGUGCUCGCGGCCUAUCAGCUUGUUGGUGGGGUAAUGGCCUACCAAGGCUUCGACGGGUAGCCGGCCUGAGAGGGUGACCGGCCACACUGGGACUGAGACACGGCCCAGACUCCUACGGGAGGCAGCAGUGGGGAAUAUUGGACAAUGGGCGGAAGCCUGAUCCAGCAACGCCGCGUGAGGGAUGACGGCCUUCGGGUUGUAAACCUCUUUCAGCACCGACGAAGCGCAAGUGACGGUAGGUGCAGAAGAAGGACCGGCCAACUACGUGCCAGCAGCCGCGGUAAUACGUAGGGUCCGAGCGUUGUCCGGAAUUAUUGGGCGUAAAGGGCUCGUAGGCGGUUUGUCGCGUCGGGAGUGAAAACACCGGGCUUAACUCGGUGCUUGCUUUCGAUACGGGCAGACUUGAGGUAUGCAGGGGAGAACGGAAUUCCUGGUGUAGCGGUGAAAUGCGCAGAUAUCAGGAGGAACACCGGUGGCGAAGGCGGUUCUCUGGGCAUUACCUGACGCUGAGGAGCGAAAGUGUGGGGAGCGAACAGGAUUAGAUACCCUGGUAGUCCACACCGUAAACGUUGGGCGCUAGGUGUGGGAUCCAUUCCACGGGUUCCGUGCCGUAGCUAACGCAU